CUUAUUUUCGGGGAAACACCGUAAUUUAGGAUUUUCCCCAUUUUGUAGUUAUCAAAAACUACGUGGUAUUCUGGACUGAUGAAACAACGUCUAAGGUCUCCAAGUUGUUUCAAAGGAAAAUGGGUCCAGAUAUGUUGAAUUUGAAUUUCAUGUUGACUAUGAAGGAGAUGGAACUUAUCAUAUUAGGAAAUCAGACGAUGAAUUUAUUCACCUCGAGCACGGAGAGGAAAUGAACGGACUUGCGAAUGAAGCGGUGUCAAAUAUGGGUAAAAUUACUAAUACAUGUACAUAUAUAAUAUAAUAUUCGAUAUAUAGAUAAAUUAUUAUUCUUGUGUUGGUCUGCAGUUAAACUCAUUUAAUUCUAUUUGUUUUAAUCAGACAACCUUUUAGACAAUGCAGCUAUAGUUUUUCUU